rnacentral:rRNA from 1 species
AUUGAACGCUGGCGGCAGGCCUAACACAUGCAAGUCGAACGAGUGGCGGACGGGUGAGUAAUGUCUGGGAAACUGCCCGAUGGAGGGGGAUAACUACUGGAAACGGUAGCUAAUACCGCAUACCAUCGGAUGUGCCCAGAUGGGAUUAGCUAGUAGGUGGGGUAACGGCUCUCCUAGGCGACGAUCCCUAGCUGGUCUGAGAGGAUGACCAGACAUCUGGGACCGUAAGCACGGUCCAGACUCCUACGGGAGGCAGCAGUGGGGAAUAUUGCACAAUGGGCGCAAGCCUUACGCAGCCAUGCAUCGUGUAUGAAGAAGGCAUUCGGGUUGUAAAGUACUUUCAGCGAGGAGGCGUUACUCGCAGAAGAAGCACCGGCUAACGCCGUGCCAGCAGCUUCGGUAAUUC